ACGUGAUCCAUGAAAAAAAAAAAAGAACCCCCACGGCUUGCGCCUUACCCCCACUCCUACCUCAUUUACUGCGCGAGGGAUCUGGAAGGGUUGCAAGAAAUAAAAAAAUCCUCACCUGCUACGCAUGGGAUCUAGAAGGGUUCCAAGGAAAAAAAAUAGAAAUCUGUGGGAAGGAGAGCACCUACGAGAGAUUGGAGGAGGGAGCUCGAUGUCGGUGAGGAUCGGGAGGAGAGUGACAGUAGAGACCGACGGGAGAGCAGGGAGGACGUCGGCUUCUCUUUUUUGGAAAUAUGUGGAAAGGAAACCACCACCUUAAGGAGAUCGUGAGGGAGAUCAGAAGAGAUGGCCAACAUCGGUGACGACGGGGAGGAAGAUGAUAGUGGAGAUCGAUAGCAGGCCACGACGAGGGAUUUGUGAGAAGAAAAGCACCUACGGGAGAGAUCCAAAGUGUGCCAAAGGAAAAAAAAAGGAAAAAGUAUUUAGUCGCAUCUGACUUGUGUGCACAGUCAAUUCUGACAUGUUAUAUGCCAUAUGACACGUAAGGAGAGUGGAGGGACGUGCUUUAAUGUAUAGGAUAAAUUAUAUUAUUAUAAUUAUUUUGAUGGG
rnacentral:lncRNA from 1 species